rnacentral:rRNA from 1 species
UGGGGAAUUUUGGACAAUGGGCGAAAGCCUGAUCCAGCAAUGCCGCGUGUGUGAAGAAGGCCUUCGGGUUGUAAGGCACUUUUGUCCGGAAAGAAAUCCUUGGCUCUAAUACAGUCGGGGGAUGACGGUACCGGAAGAAUAAGCACCGGCUAACUACGUGCCAGCAGCCGCGGUAAUACGUAGGGUGCAAGCGUUAAUCGGAAUUACUGGGCGUAAAGCGUGCGCAGGCGGUUUGCUAAGACCGAUGUGAAAUCCCCGGGCUCAACCUGGGAACUGCAUUGGUGACUGGCAGGCUAGAGUAUGGCAGAGGGGGGUAGAAUUCCACGUGUAGCAGUGAAAUGCGUAGAGAUGUGGAGGAAUACCGAUGGCGAAGGCAGCCCCCUGGGCCAAAUACUGACGCUCAUGCACGAAAGCGUGGGGGAGCAAACAGGAUUAGAUACCCUGGUAGUCCACGCCCUAAAACGAUGUCAACUAGUUGUUGGGGAUUCAUUUCCUUAGUAACGUAGCUAACGCGUGAAGUUGACCGCCUGGGGAGUACGGUCGCAAGAUUAAAACUCAAAGGAAUUGACGGGGUCAUAGCUGUUUCCU